GCACUUACCACUCUGAAUUGUAAUAGUGCUUUUGCUUGUCUGUCUUCCCAGACUUGACUUUGAACUCAACAACAGGGACCUAGUUAAAUGCACAGAGGAGCCUGGCAGGCCACUGUUAGGGGGUCGAAAAAGUCAAGAAACUGACCGAGCACAACAACAACACAUCACUAAUACCUGGUGUGGUUCCCGGCACAUAGUGGGUCUGAAAAGUGCCUGCAAUGGGACAACCCAACUGGAAGGUUGCGCAGGGCAGAAAAAUAUAGAAAGUGAAUCUAGAGGGGCAAAGAGAAUAUCCAUCACAUCAUAGAAAGUCACCAGUGAAAGCAUUCCUGGAUGGCCACAGUCAAGAAAGACGACUCAGAGAGGAAGGCAAGUCUGUACUGGCUGGGAACUGGCUCUCAGUGCAGAAAGCACCCUGCCUAGAAGGCAGCGAGGGCGGAGAGGAGCAACGGUAAUUCUGGGUCUUCGCCCCACCUCUCUCAGCUGAGAAUGCAACCCACGCAGAAAGAAAUGUUGCUCUUGCCAGAUUCAUAUUUCAUCCUCACAGCGGCUUCGUGUCAACGUUAUCUUUAAACGUGAUGUAUGGAGUCGCCAGAACUUGUGGUAGGAAUGCCAAACCAAGAUGACUUCAGGAACGUUGCAAGUCUAGCCCACAAAGAGAUUCACUUCUGACAGAGGGAGAAAACAAAGGUGAAAAGUUGCAGAAGGUGUACAUUAACAUCAAGUCCACGGCAGAGGUGGCUUCAUAAACCCAAGUGACCUCUCCUCACUUCAUCACCAUUAAACCUCCUGAAUGGAUGGCUGGAACUUUUGGUCUCUCUGUACUGACCUCUGAGGAGGAGAGAGGAACUAGAUAGUAAGUUCAAUCAUCAAUGGCCGAUGAUUUAAUCAAUCAUGCCUAUGUAAUGAACUCUUCAUAAAAACCCAAAGCACAGGGUUUGGAGAACCUCUGGGCUGGUGAACACAAGGAGAGAGGGGAGGGCUCAGAGAGGACACAGAAACUCUGGGCUCUUUUCCUGAAAACCUUGCCCUCUUUAUCUCUUCCACCUGGCUGUUCCUAAGUUAUGUGUGUGUUAGUUGCUCAGUUGUGUCCGACUCUAUGCGACCCCAUGGCCAGGCUCCUCUGUCCAUGGAAUUUUCCAGGCAAGAACACUGGAGUGGGUUGCUAUAUUCUUUUAUAAUAAACCAGUAAUCUAAUAAAUACA
rnacentral:lncRNA from 1 species